rnacentral:rRNA from 1 species
GACAGAGGGUGCAAACGUUGUUCGGAAUUACUGGGCAUAAAGCGCGUGUAGGCGGCCCUGCAAGUCGGGUGUGAAAUCCCACGGCUCAACCGUGGAAGUGCACUCGAAACUGCAGGGCUAGAGUCCUGGAGAGGAAGGUGGAAUGCUUGGUGUAGAGGUGAAAUUCGUAGAUAUCAAGCGGAACACCGGUGGCGAAGGCGGCCUUCUGGACAGUGACUGACGCUGAGACGCGAAAGCGUGGGGAGCAAACAGG